rnacentral:RNase_P_RNA from 1 species
CGAGCAGGUCGGGUAGUCGCGGAUGCCGGAUUUCGCCGGCAGACGAGGAAAGUCCGGGCUCCACAGGGCAGGGUGCUGGGUAACGCCCAGCGAGGGUGACCUCAGGGAAAGUGCCACAGAAACAUACCGCCUGUAACUUCCGGCCCGGGCUCGCUGUUCUCGUGAGCGGCGAGACGAGGUCAGGGCAGGUAAGGGUGAAAAGGUGGUGUAAGAGACCACCGGCAACCGGGUGACCGGUUGGCCAGGCAAACCCCACCCGGAGCAAGGCCAAAUAGGAGAGCGAUGACGUGGCCCGCCGAGCUCUCGGGUUGGCCGCUAGAGGUGAAGGGUAACCUUCAUCCAAGAUAGAUGACUACCCUCGACAGAACCCGGCUUAUAGACCUGCUCGCCAU